UCCAAGGAGCAGGGACAGCACGGGCAAAUGUCCUGUGGCAGGAGGGGUCUGGUGUGUCUGAAGACACGUGAGAGAGCAGCGUGGCUGGCGUGGGUGACCGCCCUGAGCACGCGGGGUCUCGCGGAUAGAAACGGAUGUUUGGCUUCUCCUGGCCUGUGCCGGGUCCCCGAGACAGGGAGUCGGGUACAGGUGGAUUAAGGGCUGGUGUGAGAGGCACCACCCCCCUUCGUUGAGGCUAGGGCCUCAGUGCCCCAGGGAGCCCACUCAGCGGGUUGAGAAGCAUCACCCCCACACGCUGCCCUGGGAGACCUCCUAUGGUUUAAAAGUGCUAAUACUGGUUUGGCGGCUCCUGGCCGCAAGACGGUAACACCUGAAUGUCCAGCCACCGAUGACUGGAUACAGAAAACAUGGCCCAUCACAGCCUGGAAUAUUAUUUAGCCGCGAGGAGGAGCGAGAUGCCCACACCUGCAGCCCUGCCGACGGACCCUGAACACACGUGUCCACCGCGCGUGCGCAUGGUCCUCAGGUGCGUCGACUGCGCACGCGCACGUCCCUCAGCCGUGAGCAGGAGCGAGGCCCCCGCACCUGCCGCCCCGGGGAUAGACGCCGAAUACGCGACGCUCAGGGAGGGAACCAGACACGACAGGCCACGCGGGGUGGGAGUCCACGUGCGGAACCGUCCGGAACAGGCCCGUCCACGGACAGGAGGGGGCUUGUGG